UACGAAGGGGGCUAGCGUUGCUCGGAAUUACUGGGCGUAAAGCGUGCGCAGGCGGUUUUGUAAGCCAGAUGUGAAAUCCCCGGGCUUAACCUGGGAACUGCAUUUGUGACUGCAUCGCUGGAGUGCGGCAGAGGGGGAUGGAAUUCCGCGUGUAGCAGUGAAAUGCGUAGAUAUGCGGAGGAACACCGAUGGCGAAGGCAAUCCCCUGGGCCUGCACUGACGCUCAUGCACGAAAGCGUGGGGAGCAAACAGG
rnacentral:rRNA from 1 species